GGCCAAAGUUGCAAAGAUUGGCACUGACGUUCUAGCGACUCGAUAUGAAACCUGCUACAUCUAUGGCCCAAUAACAUCAACAAUUAACCCAACAUCGGGUUCUUCUUUAGACUGGGCUUAUGAUCUGGGAAUCAAACACACAUUUGCCUUUGAGCUCCGAGAUAAAGGCUAUUUUGGUUUUCUCCUUUCAGAAUCUCAGAUAAAGCCAACCUGUAAAGAGACCAUGCUAGCUGUCAAAUUUAUUGCCAAGUAUAUCCUCAAGCAUGCUUCCUAAAGAAUUGUCCUCCGUUUGGAAUAAGCCAGUUAAUCUUUUUUGUGUGUGCCCUUCACCAGAAAGUCAAUCUUCAAAUAUCCUAGAUGCAGCUUUCACACCACCUGAAUAGGUUCUCCUCUUGCUCACUUAAGUCCUGUGUUAUUUCUUUUUAUUUACUCUCAGUAGCACCCUAACAAAGUAGCUUUAAGUGAAGUCUUUUAACUAGCUUUCUUUGCUCCAAAUAAGUUUGAACCCAGCAGAAACCAUUAUUCUGAGUACUUUGAAAAGUGAUAUACAGGGGGCACAAAAAAGAAGUGAAAACCUUCACUUUCUCCAGAAUCAGAUUUUCACCACGUGGUUUCAUCAUUUCAUGUGCUAAUAUAAUAAAAAAUAAAAUGCAUUCCAACGCUUUAAAAA